rnacentral:rRNA from 1 species
UACGGAGGGGGCUAGCGUUGUUCGGAAUUACUGGGCGUAAAGCGCGCGUAGGCGGCUUUGUAAGUUAGAGGUGAAAGCCCGGAGCUCAACUCCGGAACUGCCUUUAAGACUGCAUCGCUAGAAUUGUGGAGAGGUGAGUGGAAUUCCGAGUGUAGAGGUGAAAUUCGUAGAUAUUCGGAAGAACACCAGUGGCGAAGGCGACUCACUGGACACAUAUUGACGCUGAGGAGCGAAAGCAUGGGGAGCAAACAGG